CAUUUUAACGAGAUUUUUACUGAAUGAAUUUUUGGCAUGAGCUCUGUUUAUUCCAAGCACCACAAUUCCUAGGUACUCCUCCUCCAGGCCC